AAGAUAUUAGUUAACACAUAACAUUAUUUUGUCAUAAUAAAAUUAUCAUUAGAUAUAUCUUA
rnacentral:tRNA from 1 species